rnacentral:rRNA from 1 species
AUUCAGUUGGGGCACUCUAGCGAGACUGCCGGUAAUAAACCGGAGGAAGGUGGGAUGACGUCAAAUCAUCAUGCCCCUUAUGACCUGGGCUACACACGUGCUACAAUGGUUGGUACAACGAGUUGCGAGUCGGUGACGGCGAGCUAAUCUCUUAAAGCCAAUCUCAGUUCGGAUUGUAGGCUGCAACUCGCCUACAUGAAGUCGGAAUCGCUAGUAAUCGCGGAUCAGCACGCCGCGGUCGAAUACGUUCCCGGGCCUU